UAAGCAAAUUACACUAAUCUUAGACAAAAUCUGGAGUGGUUAACUUGUUUGUGGCUGGAAGAUGUAAGUUCUGGCCUUCUGGGUGGGUAGUCAGCAUUUGGCAGAGCAAGACUUUUUUGCAAAUAUCUUAUUGAACUUCAUAGCUAUUGUCCAAAUCCAAAUG